rnacentral:rRNA from 1 species
AACGAACGCUGGCGGCAGGCCUAACACAUGCAAGUCGAGCGAGGAGUUCGGUCCUAGCGGCGGAUGGGGGUGUAGCGCGUGGGGAGGGGCACUUGGGGUUGGAAUAGCUCUGGGAAACUGGGAGGAAUACCGGAUGGGCGCUUUGGGGGGAAGAUUUAUUGGCGAAGGUUGGGCCCGCGUGGGAGUCGGUAGUUGGGGGGGUAAUGGCCUACCAAGCGGUCGAUCCGUAGCUUGUUUGAGAGGAUGAUCAGCCACACUGGGAGUGAGACACGGCCCAGACUCCUACGGGAGGCAGCAGUGGGGAAUCUUGGACAAUGGGGGAAACCCUGAUCUAGCCAGGACGCGUGAGCGAUGAAGGCCUUAGGGUUGUAAAGCUCUUUCAGCUGGGAAGAUAAUGACGGUACCAGCAGAAGAAGCCCCGGCUAACUCCGUG